rnacentral:rRNA from 1 species
CGGACGGGUGAGUAACGCGUGGGCAACCUGCCUCAUACAGGGGGAUAGCAUCGGGAAACUGGUGGUAAAACCGCAUAAGCGCACGGGAACGCAUGUUUUUGUGUGAAAAGGAGAAAUCUGGUAUGAGAUGGACCCGCGUCUGAUUAGCUAGUUGGAGUGGUAAAAGCACACCAAGGCAACGAUCAGUAGCCGGCCUGAGAGGGUGGACGGCCACAUUGGGACUGAGACACGGCCCAGACUCCUACGGAAGGCAGCAG